rnacentral:rRNA from 1 species
GGAUCGCAGGCUGCAACCCGCCUGCGUGAAGUCGGAAUCGCUAGUAAUCGCGGAUCAGCAUGCCGCGGUGAAUACGUUCCCGGGCCUUGUACACACCGCCCGUCACACCAUGAGAGUCGGGAACACCCGAAGUCCGUAGCCUAACCAAUCUGGAGGGCGCGGCCGAAGGUGGGUUCGAUAAUUGGGGUGAAGUCGUAACAAGGUACC